AAACUUCCAUGCCUUCAUGGCUGGAGAACAAGCAACCCGAGACUGCUUGGAGUCUCCUGAAUCACCCUUCUUUGUUCCGUCUAAACUCUUUUACAUUCCUGAUGGCCUCAUCGUUAAGAAUCUGAUGUUCUCACCAACCACGGGGCUUGCCCACCCCCAUGGCCCAUCUCCUUCUUCAUUAAUAUCAACCAUCUUCUCGACAUGAAUUACCACUAUAUAUAUAACAAGGGCAAGGCCAACCGCGGGCAGAGGUUCAAAACUUUAAGCUCGUCUCUCGCUGCUGUCUUUAAGACCGAAGUCGUCCGUCACUCAGAACGAGUGCCCUUUCCCUCAGCCCUUCCCGCCCUCCCCCUGCCUGAGGUGCGGCCGGGGCUGGCCGCCGCCUCACCCCACGCUGAGGCGAGAAGAUGCCCGGGGGCUCCGGUGCUGCUGUCCUCGCCCGUGGUUUCCUCACCAGCUGUGACCUGAGGUGCUGAGCAGCCAUGGCUGGGCCCGGCCUUCUCCUGAGGUGACCGCCCCAGUCGGCAGGGGGUAAGUUGUGCUAAAGGCCCUGGCGCAGGGGAGAGGCGGGAGCUGGCCAUUUUGUCGCUCGUUCCCCUCAUGGCCCGCGGCGGGGAAGUGGUGGCGCACAUCGCCUGAGGAGAAAUUGUGCCCAGCAGCCUUCAGGCGCUGAUUGUCGACGCCUGGUGGAUGUGCACUGACCUGCUGAAGGCUUAGAACCUCAGAACCUGUCAUAUGGGCCUUGCUGUGUGUGAUGUGAUGGACUUUGGGACAUGUUCCUAAGUCUGAGUACGUACUGUGUGGCACAUGUGUGUCUACGGGCUUUUCUCGUUUAUAAAAGACUUUGAGUUCUCUUUAGUGCUGAACAGCUCUUCUUAGCUUUGAGUACCUACUCGCAGUAGAUGGCACCCUUGUAACGUGUCUACAAGAAGUUUUUCAGAAAUGUUUCCUAAAGCCAUCUUCGCUUGCUGUCUGAAGCACACCUUCAAGGGAUGAGCAGAUGUCCAGUCACUGCUGCACGGUAAGACGAGUUCUGAGGUAUUUAGAGGUUUCCUUGAAGACUAAGUUAACCUUUAAAUAAGAGCAGCUGAGGCCAGUUUUCCUCAAAACUGAGAGAAGUGUUCUGUAGGAAGUGGUUUUGAUAGUCUGUUUUUUUUCAGUGCUGGAGUGUUGUUUUUUUGGCUCAAUGUUUGGUAAAAAAUAUUGUUUGGAUAUUUAUUUUGUUUGGCUUUUGUCCUUCUGUCAGAAGUAAACUUUUUUGUUGUUGUUUUUUGCCCCAAAACAGUCACGUUAGGAUAUUUUCCUUUGUAUUAUAAACACCAAGUGUAUUUUCCAUGCUUUAAAACUAUUGUCACGUUUCCUUAUUUUCAGUGUGUCUUUUCAUCUAAUUUUUCUGGUCUUAAUUUCUGAACUCCUGUCCCCUACACAUGAACAGGAAAGAAUUACUGUUUUCCUCAUUUUUCAUUAACAUUAAAUUAACACUAGCUCGUUUUCUGGGUAUGCUUUGGAAGGCGUGUAAAGGUGGUGCUAGUGAGCAUCUGUUGUCUCCAGGUGCACAACUUCAUUAAUGGCACUCGUUAAAAUAGUUGAUCUUGUAAAAAUAGAAGGGAGAGCUAUAUCACAGAAGAGUCUUGGCAUGAUUUUAUUAAUUGGUUCUUAUCAAUUUUUGUCAGGCAAGUACUAAUUUUGUAUUAUUUCUUCAGUGAAUCUAGGGGGAAUCCCAAAAACAUGUUCAUUGAUGACAAACUUGGUUUGAGUAAAAGUAUUCUCCUUAAAAAAAAAUAUCCCCCCCAUCCUAGUUUUGUCUUUUAGGUGAAAACACUGCGCAUCACAGGUACAGGCCAUGCCAAGCAGCCAGUUGUUAGUUGUCCACUGAUGCAGGCUUCAAUUCGACAGCUAGUGUGCACAGCUGUACCUUGUUACUUGCCUCUCACUUGAGGGGAGUGCUUGGCACAGCUUCCAGUGUGAGCUUGUGGUCUUUUUACUGACAGAGCUUACGCAGGUUUUGUUUCCCUUUGCUCUUGUAAGAGAUUAUUGUCUUCAGAACAGUGUUACAGCUUGGAAUGUAAUAGCACCUAGUGCACGUAAAUAGGUUCUUUAAUAUCUUUUCUGUUGUCAUUUUUAUUACUGACCUUUUUACAGCAUAAACACGGAAGUCUAUAGAAAUACAACUCCAGCUAGUAUUAAUAAAUCAGUCCAAGCUAAGCCAAACCAAUCUAUAACAGUUUAUUUUUUAUUUUUUCCAGUUACAGAAAACACAGGUUCAGGGCUUACAAAGCCUCCCUGAAGACUUGCUUGCUGUUUUCUCAGUUUUAUUGAUGGCAAAGCAACUACAAAUACCUAAAGUUAACCAGUUAACACUUUGCCUUCAUAAUGGGAUCAUCUGGAGAUGAGUUACCCACUCCUCUGAAGUAUGUUGCUAUCUGAAGGUUUUUAAGGUCAGCUUUCUCAGGACCUGAGUUACCAGUGGCUACCCAGACGGUUAAUAAUUGAACUUGAACUUGAACUGCACAGCAAUUGGUGGAAAGUUAAUGGUUUUGUCCUUUUCUUCUGGAAUUGAAGAAAACCUCAUAUAGCUAACGCAAUAUUAGUUUCAUGUGAUGGGGCCCGUUUAAUAUGCAGUGGAGAAACAGAACUACAAAGAAUAUAAGAUAAGAUUUCAGAAUGAAUGGAGUUUGUGCCAUGCACGGAGAUUGCUCACCAAGCCUACCUUCCUGCAGUGCUCCCUAGGUGAAUGUUUUAGGAUGGCCCUUUGAGGACCAGUCUUGUUUUCUGCUUGCACCUUUCUGGCCACUUAUUUUUCUGCUACUCUCUUCGAGAAUUUGUUGUUGUCUUAUGCUUUAAUGUCCCCUUUGGUCUCCCUUUUCUUGGUCCUGUCAUUGCAGCUGUGUCAGUGUUUCCCUCUGUGUAGGUAUAAACCCAGUUAUUCUUUUUGUGGGGAUGUUCAUAAAUAUAAGCUGCUUCUCAUCUUGUCUGCCAUGGGUAACUCAACAUCCAGGCAUACAGACGUGUGUGGGCAGAUAAAAUUGUUAAUGCUUUUGUUUGUCAUAGCUCCUCAAUGUAUUUAAAUUCUGAAAUGAUGCACUUUAGUACAUCUUUACUUUAUAUUUUUAAGUGGAUUAAAAUCCAACUUCCUCACCAUUCCAAUUAUGUGCUUAAAUAUUUUCAGCCCCAACCUGUGGUUUUUCCGUAGUUUGCCACCUGUAGAGAGACACCUGUUACAGUGAGAAGUCCUCGUGCUUAAUUUCCACAGAUUAUCUGUCCUCCCCUAGGUUAUUUCUGAGUUGGAAUGUACUGCCUGACGUGAGUGAUACUGUUCAACACUAAGAAAAACUAGCCACAAGAAUCUUCAAGCCCUUGGAGGUACAUUUCCAAGGUUAUUUUAACAUCUAGUUAAGUAUUCUUGCUACUUCUUUUACAAAUAGGACUAAAAAAAAAAUGAGACUUACGGUAUUUCCUAAAAUGCUGGCCUUGAAAUCAAACUAUGUUUGGUUUUAAAAUGUUUCUAGAGGACAUUCUGAUUCUUUUUCCAACAAAUACAUUUUCAUUUUUGUUGUGUAGUAACAUUAGUAACACUAGUGACAGAACUGAUGGAUUCUGUAUGUGGCCGAUGAUAAAAGUUCAAUUUGUGUCACUUUUAACUUGAUCCCCA